rfam:Nematostella vectensis strain CH2 x CH6 NEMVEscaffold_605_Cont30731, whole genome shotgun sequence.
CCUUCGAUAGCUCAGUUGGUAGAGCGGGGGGCUGUAGAUUUACAAUUGUGAUCCCUCAGUUCGCAGGUUCGAAUCCGGCUCAAAGGA